CGCCCUUGCGGAUCCGCGGUCGUUGCAGAGUUUGAUCCUGGUUCAGAAUCAACGCUGGCGGCGCGCUUAACACAUGCAAGUCGAACGAGAAAGGGGAGCAAUCCCUUAGUAAAGUGGCGUACGGGUGAGUAACACGUGGGUUAUCCACCCUCUGGUGGGGAAUAACCCUGGGAAACCGGGGCUAAUACCGCAUAAGUCCGGAAGGAGAAAGGCGAAAGCGCCGGAGGAGGAGCCCGCGGCCGAUUAGCUGGUUGGUGGGGUAAUGGCUCACCCAAGGUGACGAUCGGUAGCCGGCCUGAGAGGGCACACGUCCACACUGGCACUUUAACACGGGCCAGACUCCUACGGGAGGCAGCAGUGGGGAAUCUUGCACAAUGGGGGAAACCCUGAUGCAGCGACGCCGCGUGAGGAUGGAAGCCCUUCGGGGUGUAAAGCUCUUUCGGCGGGAGCGAUGAUGACGGUACCCGCGGAAGAAGCUGCGGCUAACUACGUGCCAGCAGCCGCGGUAAUACGUAGGCAGCAAGCGUUUUUCGGAGUUACUGGGCGUAAAGAGUGUGUAGGCGGUCAUCCAAGUCUGGUGUGAAAUCUCCCGGCUCAACUGGGGAGGGCGC
rnacentral:rRNA from 1 species